rnacentral:rRNA from 1 species
UACGGGGGGUGCAAGCGUUAAUCGGAAUCACUGGGCGUAAAGGGUGCGUAGGCGGUACGUUAGGUCUGUCGUGAAAUCCCCGGGCUCAACCUGGGAAUGGCGGUAGAAACCGGCGAACUAGAGUAUGGGAGAGGGUGGUGGAAUUCCAGGUGUAGCGGUGAAAUGCGUAGAGAUCUGGAGGAACAUCAGUGGCGAAGGCGCCUUGCUGGACAGUGCCUGACGCUGAGGCGCGAAGGCGUGGGGAGCAAACAGGAUUAGAUACCCUGGUAGUCCACGCGGUAAACGAUGAGUGCUAGGUGUCGGAGGGUACCACCUCCGGUGCCGAAGGAAACCCAAUAAGCACUCCGCCUGGGGAGUACGGUCGCAAGACUGAAACUCAAAGGAAUUGACGGGGGCCCGCACAAGCAGUGGAGCAUGUGGUUUAAUUCGAAGCAACGCGAAGAACCUUACCAGGACUUGACAUCCCCCUGACGGGAGUAGAGAUAUUCCGUCCCUUCGGGGCAGGGGAGACAGGUGGUGCAUGGUUGUCGUCAGCUCGUGUCGUGAGAUGUUGGGUUAAGUCCCGCAACGAGCGCAACCCUUGAUCAGUGUUACCAGCACGUAAUGGUGGGGACUCACUGAUGACUGCCGGUGACAAACCGGAGGAAGGCGGGGAUGACGUCAAAUCAUCAUGCCCCUUAUGUCCUGGGCCACACACGUGCUACAAUGGGCGGUACAACGGGAAGCAAGAGAGCGAUCUGGAGCGAAACCCUAAAAGCCGUUCGUAGUUCGGAUUGCAGGCUGCAACCCGCCUGCAUGAAGCCGGAAUUGCUAGUAAUCGCGGAUCAGCAUGCCGCGGUGAAUCCGUUCCCGGGCCU